CCCUUAGAUGUCCUGGGCCGCACGCGCGUUACACUGAUGCAUUCAACGAGCUUAUAACCUUGGCCGAGAGGCCUGGGCAAUCUUGUUAACGUGCAUCGUGAUAGGGAUAGAUUGUUGAAAUUAUUAAUCUUGAACGAGGAAUUCCUAGUAAACGCAGAUCAUCAAUCUGCAUUGAUUACGUCCCUGCCCUUUGUACACACCGCCCGUCGCACCUACCGAUUGGAUGGUCCGGUGAAGCCUCGGGAUUGUGGUUCUUGCCGCUUUAUUGUGGCGUGACCGCGAGAACUUGUCUAAACCUUACCAUCUAGAGGAAGGUGAAGUCGUAACA
rnacentral:rRNA from 1 species